rnacentral:rRNA from 1 species
CAGUCGCCGCGGUAAAACGUAGGGUGCAAGCGUUAUCCGGAAUUAUUGGGCGUAAAGAGCUCGUAGGCGGUUUGUCGCGUCUGCUGUGAAAACUGGAGGCUCAACCUCCAGCCUGCAGUGGGUACGGGCAAACUAGAGUGCGGUAGGGGAGAUUGGAAUUCCUGGUGUAGCGGUGGAAUGCGCAGAUGUCAGGAGGAACACCGAUGGCGAAGGCAGAUCUCUGGGCCGUAACUGACGCUGAGGAGCGAAAGCAUGGGGAGCGAACAGGAUUAGAUACCCGCGUAGUCCCUGUCUCUUAUAC